GAAAGGUUGGGGGGCACAGAGAGCAGGGAGCCUUCCUCAGAGGUGUCAGGCCUUGUUCCUGUCCCCAUUCCUCGGAG
rnacentral:miRNA from 1 species